CGCAGCAGGCAGCGCCCGGGGGCCGGCGAUGGCAGGCGGUGGCGGGCGAUGGCCUCGGCCAAAGGACGGGGAGCGAAGUCCGGGAGGCAGCGGAACCGGGGCUCAGGGAUGCAGGGUGCGGUGAGGCGACCAGGGCGGGCGAGGUCCGGGACCUGGCACUUGGGUGUCCCGGCCGCAGGCGCGCGCGCGAGGGUUUCAGCCUGUGUCUAGGUUUUCCCAGGGGUGUGACAACCUCCGGAAAAGAGCCCUCCACUGGUAUCUGUCACUCGUGACAAGAGAAAGGGAUGAUCUGGCAUCUCAAGGACUACAACACCAGAUGGUCAACAUUCUGAGACCCCCUUUUCAGCCCAUUUGCCCUAUAACUGCUUCAAAAUGUUUUAGUUUUAAGAUGGUUCUUUAGGACGCUAGUCCACCAUCUUCCCCCUUGCUAGCAAGCUGUAAUAAAAAGACCCUUUCUCUCCUACCACCUUGCCUCUUGACAGUUGGCUUGUCUUUGCAGCAAGUAAAGGAUCCCUUUUGGCGGUAACAGUAAUAGUAUGGGUGGUUUCCUUAGGGUCCUCUGUUUCCUUUAGGUCCCUUUCUUAGAUGGGGUUCUGAGGUCAUGUGCACCUCUUCAGACCCUCUUGCUCCCACUCACUUUUUAUUCCAGCCCCUCUAGGAGACCAUCCUGGGUAGAUUUUGCACAGGUGCAGGUGCACAGAACUCUGCUGCAGCCCUGGAGUGCAGGCCCAACUUCCCCGCUGGAGCUUGCAACUCCUAGUGUUCCUUUCGACCAGGUGCCCUUGGCCCUCUGACUGGCUGGCAUGGUGGAAGGGGCACUGGGUUUGGACAUGGCCUGUAGUCUAGUUCCACUCUGCCCACUCUCUGACUGUGCACAUCUCUGAACCUGGUUCUUGGGAGUUUGGGAUUUCUGAGAGGCCCCAACGAGGCAGAGAUGGUGAAGCACCCAGCAAUGGGGUCUGGCCCUGAGAUAGUCAUUGAACCUAACUGCCUGAACUUGCAUUCCCUCCCCCUCUCCCCCAUAACCCAGCUUGUGAAUGUCCCUCCCAAAAGUGAUUCCUUCCGCUCAGCUGGAAGGUACCCCCAAACACUCCCUCCCACACCACUCCAAGUGACUUUGCUCUGCCCUUGGGCCUGACUACGGGCUUCCCUUUAUCUUUUAGACUAGCCCAGACUCUUGACUCAGCAAUAACUCAACUCUAAAAUAAUUAUUUGUCAAAGUCCAGGACCAAAACACUAGGUCUUAUCAGUUGACAGACUCAGCCCUGAAUGGGAAGAACCCAGGGGGAAGGGUGUGGAAGGUGAGGCACACAAGGACUUUAGUGCAGCGUGGGUGUUACUGACAGGCCAGGCUCUCUGGGGACCCACAUGUCUCCUGACUGAUUGCUUGAUUGGGCGGGUUUUGACUGAGCUCAGUCAUUCAAAGGCUCCAUGAGAUUAAGCCGUGCUGCCAAACAGGUGCUGUGUCUUUCCUGUGAGAGGAGACACGCCGCCGAGGGUGGUCAUUCCAAUUGUUCACUGACACAUCUCAUUCCUCUCCUUUCAGGCCCAUGGGGAGCUUUCACCUCCGGCCUCCUGAGGAAAGCUUUGGCCAUGUGACUUAUCUGGUUAAUGAACUGUUGGCAGAAGCAUAUGUGUCACUUUUGGGCAGAGGCCUCUAAGGGCCAUAGUGGUGGUUCCAGAUGGUGGAGGCUCCAUCAGCCUAAGCGUUCGAGGGAGGCGAGAUGGAGCAGAGCCCCUUGACUGAAGAUGGGUGUGUGGGAUGAGCAGUGAAAAAUCAACGUUGUUGUGUUAAGCCGUUGAGGUUUCGGUGGUUAUUGCAGCACAGCCUGGCCCACGUUGACGAGUGCAUCCUAAAUUCUUUCUGAAACCAAACAGGGUAGAAGCGAACUAGCACACAGGCAGCUAGGCCGAUUAUUUCCCUUGAGACUGUGAGCCCCGAGAGUCCAGAAUUCAUUCCUGAACGAUGGAUGGCAGGUCAAGUGUCCUCGAAUCCAAGCUCGUCCUGCUCUGAGCCCCAUUCCUCCUGAAGGGAACAGAGCACACUUGCUCUGUAAUGGUGACGGUCUCUCUGGAUGUAACUUAGUCUUUUGGGUAAUUCCUCAGUCUUUCAAAUUUUCUUCCUUUUCCCCUUCUCAUUCCAUAGCAGCCACUGGGCUGCCUGCAUAAUCCUUAUUUCCCACUUCUGUGCCAACAGAACUCUGUUUGGGUUCCACCAUCGGAGGAGAUGCCCUGGUUCAGGGGUAAAUCCUGACUUCUCUAAGCCAAUCAUGACAGAGCCAUCUGCCUGCCUGCGGUUGGCUGGGGCUGAGCACAUGACCGAGAUUUGACCAUGGAGACAGAUGUGGAAGUACUUACCAUGGGCCUUCUUGUUAAAAAGAAACACAGAAUGCAGAAUUUCCUGGAUUUUAGGACGUUAUAUGACACCCCCAUCAGACUCCAAGGCAGCACCUCCUGAUGAAACACAUUAAUUAAUGGUUCUGCAGCAGAAUGUAAAAAAUAUUCUUAUCAAGCAAGACGAGUCAAGACUGCAAAUACCUGUGGAUUAGUCCACGUUGAGUCUUGCUGCUGAAUGAAAUAGCCUCAAACCUAGCAAAGCCCAGACAUCUUUCUGGUCUUCAGAACUUUGCGAAUUUUGGGUUGAGGAUAGGGACUGUGGACAUGAAUCAUUCUUCAAUGCUUUCGUCUGCAUUUCCCUGACUACUUGAGAUGUUGAACUGACACUGGCCCUGAUAUUGGUCCCCGUGUGUUAAUCCAGCACAUGUGGGGUUAAAACCGAAAGCACUCAUCCCCUUUACUGCUUACUCUUUGGCUGUCUGGCGCCAGAAUCCUCCCUCCACGGAGGCAGACAAGGACACCCACCUGUGGAUUCCCUUAGCUCACCAGCCCUUUUCCUACAAGCAGCCACAUUCCUUGCAAGCUUUAAAACCCCUUGCCUCCCAUCUUUUGGGGAGAUGAGAGAAAUUUGAGGGCUCACUCUUGUCUCCCGGCUGACAUCGCCUGAAAUAAAAACCUUUCCUUGCCGUAAGCCUGGUGUUCAGGUUUUAUUUGGCUCCUCUUGUGUGGUGGGUGAAGAACCUAUAUUUGUGUCCAGUAACAGAACUAC